UUUAGGCUCUUAUUAUCUUUACAACCUGACCCUUUUGUUAUUAGGGUUUCCUCCUUUCACGAUUACAGAGCUUCUACGUUCAGACGCUGUGCCUCUUCGGAUCUCCAUAACUCUGAACAACGCCUGUGUAACGUCUCCCAUUUUCGGCUACCAUCUCCAUUAAUCCAAGCAUUAAUGUCUUUCCCACCACUGCUCCUACUCUUUUCCAUUUAAAUGGCCUCAUCAUCCUCCAACCCUGGAGCUCCAUCUAUAAAUGUUUUCUUUUCCUGCGAUGAACACCCUCACUGCUACAAAAUCUGAAAGGUCACACUGUUACGAAUUCCUAUACUCUUAUUACCGAUUUGAAGGUUGGUCGCUGUUCAAACACCUGCUGAGGUCCGGCUUCUAAGGUUCUGGGAGGCAAGGAAUGUCAAGAAAGGCGGCGAGCUGAUGGUGUCGACAUGCUACUCCUGGACGAGAAGGCUCUCCGUUGUAAUGAAGUGAUGGUCACAUGUCUGCUACGCUUUUGGGUGGCCAGGGACCUGAAGAAAAGCGGCGAGCUUAUAUGGUUUUAGUAGACGGAAAAGGUAGCAUAAUAAAGCGUAAUUCCUAUUAUAUGUUGUUGUUAUUGCGAGAAUUUUAUCAACUUAGAAACUUUUUCUUUUGUUUUUUCCCCUUUGAUUCAAGGAUCCAUCGCCGCACACACACAGGCUUUAAACUUUCAAGAAUAAGUAAUAUUUUAGUUGUUCUAUAAAUCUCAAAACCAUAAAGUUGCAUCCUUUAUUUUUUAUUAUGAAGAUGGUACUCGGAGAAGCUCGUGAAAUGACAGUGGGGUAAAGAAGACCGUGUUUCUGAGUGGAACAAUUACAUAGACUCUCACGGAGGAGUUUUAUGGAAAACUUCUCACUCAAAUUUUGGAGGUUGCUGGUGAGCUGAAUCCAUCCAACUAAACAAUCUGAUGCAAAAGAAUCCAGUUGAUACUUGAUCCUUAAUGUUUCUCAAUAACAUUCUCUUUGAAACAUAUCCAUUGAGCAACUUUUCAUAUAUAGGAAAGCAUCUGAAAAUCUAUUACAUAAGAAGGCAAUCAAAGUACAAGGAGAAUGGUGUAUUCUUUAUUUUAAAACCUUCCUCAUCUUCCUCAAGCCAGAUUUGUGAGGUAAGUAGCAACACCACCUGUAGUUUCUGCGUUUGCCAUUGAUAGCUUCGAUCAAGUAUGAAGCAGCAGUGAAAAAGGAGCUAAAAAUAGAAACCAUUUUAGACGUUUGGCUUCAAUUUCUCCAAUAGCGAGACCCUCUGUCUC